UAAAAGCACGUGAAACCGUUGAAAGGGAAACGCGCUCGGCUAGCAAUGUGCCAUCACGGUUCAACCAGUUUGCGGGCGGAGUGGGCGGUCGUCGGAUCCGAACGGACCGCGAUUGUUCACGUCCGUCCGCGAAAUGCGGUGCACUCUGUGGUGGCACGCGUCAGCGUCGGUUCGGAGCGGGCGACAAGGCCGGCGGGAAGGUAGCUCGGGCUUCGGUCYGAGUAUUAUAGCCCGUCGAGCUGGGUCCGCUGCGGACCGAGGAGAGAGAGGAUCGCUGCAGCGCAUGCCGCAAGGCUAGCCGCCCGUCGUCCGGCUUGCUCCACAGGCUGAGGACUGCACGCAGUGUUCGGCUUGGCGGGGUGGUCUGGCGGUGGUGCGGUAUAAAUGCGCUUAGGACGCUGGCGUCCAAAUGGCCGUGCGCGA
rnacentral:rRNA from 1 species